UAUUUUAAAAAAUAAACUAUUAUAGUAGAUCCAGAGGUGGCUACAUUUCUGAACAUAUUGAUUUGGUCAUUACAUCAAUUUUUUUGCAAAGGCUUGUUUCCCUCGCGAGAUCUGGCAACCCACGCCGAGCUCGGACUACGCUCUCGCUCACACGCUGUGCUAACGCCCGUAGUCAGUUCGUUCCGUUUGUGUUUGACAACAAGAUCGUGUUUGCUGAUACUUUUAUCAUACACCCCAAUCUUCAAAAGUCUGUUGAAGUAUUUUAUAAAAGUGUGAAAUAUCGACCUUUCUUUUUCUGUUCGCACACAAAAACCCAUUAAUUAACGCGAGGAAACCUAUACCAUUCCGCACCUGCGGGGGCAGACCUGAGACUAAGAGUGCCUUUUUGUUCUUCUACUCUCCAAGUGAGCAAUGUCAGAAAGUCAGGUUCAUUGUAGCGGCUCGUGUAUUUGUUUGUUUAUGUUUAUUUGUCAGAAUUCCUUAAAAAUACAGGGCAAUAACUCGCUUCGUUCAAACGCAGAAUCACACGCGAAUAUUGACAACUGUAAUAAAGCCAUUUCGAACGGAGAGAAAAUAACGAGGACUUUUAAACAAAGUAAUGGAAAUAUUCGUGACGGGAACAGAGCGGCGUUCUUUAACGAAUAAAGGCUCUUCAACACUGGAAAACCAAUCAAACGGCUGGUUCUGUCAACGACACCACAGUAACUCAGUGUCUCGGAAAGAAAAUCUAAAGAAAAUAGCAUCAGAAACAUUGACAUGUUUCCAUUUCUACCACCAAUCACUGGAGGUCGCUCACCCUGUUCAGUGAGUGAUAUCCAUUCUCCAUCCUGUCAAGCAGGUUGAAGAGACGGGCGUCUGUCGCCACCUCCUUCUUCAUCCUCUGCCCAAAACAUAAGAAAUGAACAAGAAAUACAAACGUGAACGAACACAAUUAAAAUGCAGCGACAAGUCGUUCAAUCCUCCCUGCAGCCUCACC